CAGCAGCCACGGGAAUACGUAGGUGGCAAGCGUUGUCCGGAAUUAUUGGGCGUAAAGGGCUCGCAGGCGGUUUCUUAAGUCUGAUGUGAAAGCCCCCGGCUCAACCGGGGAGGGUCAUUGGAAACUGGGAGACUUGAGUGCAGAAGGGGAGAGUGGAAUUCCAUGUGUAGCGGUGAAAUGCGUAGAUAUAUGGAGGAACACCGGUGGCGAAAGCGGCUCUCUGGUCUGUAACUGACGCUGAGGCUCGAAAGCGUGGGGAGCAAACAGGAUUAGAUACCCCUGUAGUCCCUGUCUCUUAUAC
rnacentral:rRNA from 1 species